GUCUUCAUGGCUCAAUCGGAUAGAGCAUCUGACUUCGGAUCAGAGGGUUGAGGGUUCGAAUCCUUCUGGAGACGCCA
rnacentral:tRNA from 1 species